CCUACGGGGGGCAGCAGUGAGGAAUAUUGGUCAAUGGACGAAAGUCUGAACCAGCCAAGUAGCGUGAAGGAUGACUGCCCUAUGGGUUGUAAACUUCUUUUAUAUGGGAAUAAAAUGUUCCACGUGUGGGAUUUUGUAUGUACCAUAUGAAUAAGGAUCGGCUAACUCCGUGGCAGCAGCCGCGGUAAUACGGAGGAUCCGAGCGUUAUCCGGAAUUAUUGGGGUUUAAGGGAGCGUAGGUGGAUUGUUAAGUCAGUUGUGAAAGUGUGCGGCUCAACCGUAAAAUUGCAGUUGAAACUGGCAGUCUUGAGUACAGUAGAGGUGGGCGGAAUUCGUGGUGUAGCGGUGAAAUGCGUAGAUAUCACGAAGAACUCCGAUUGCGAAGGCAGCUCACUGGACUGCAACUGACACUGAGGCUCGAAAGUGUGGGUAUCAAACAGGAUUAGAUACCCCAGUAGUC
rnacentral:rRNA from 1 species